rnacentral:lncRNA from 1 species
GUUUCCUUAGACAAUUAGUCCAAGGUAGAAGUUCUUGUGUUAAUUAAGACCAAUAAUGGACCCAUGUUUUGAAUUGUGGUGCUAUAUGGGGUACCUUGGGUGUUUUGCUUGGAGUGGCCGAAUUCGAGGUCGAAUUCUUUUUAAGGGGGGUAGAGUGUAAUAUCCCAAAAAAAAUGUUGACCAAAAGUUAAUCUCUGGUGCGUGGAUGAGGUAAAGGGUUGUGGGCCAUUGGAUGCAAAGAUAGAAGUCAUCUGAGGCGUCGUUUCUUUCUCCCACAAAAACCCUAGGUGGCCACCCCUUUUUUCCCUUCACCCCCCCUCUUGGCCGCCACCCCCUUUUUCUACCCCUUGGCUGGACGCCCCCUCCCCCUAUGGCAGCCAUCCUCCAUUGCUUCCUCCCCCAAGAUCUCCCCCUACGCAGCAAGGAUCGAGAAAAGGAGGGGCACGUUGAAUUGAAGAGGAAGAGAGGAUCAAGGAGAUGUUCUUUCCCAUCUCCUCUUGAAGAUUUCUUGGGGAAACCCUAGGUAUGGAUGAGAUCCUUGUUCCUCCCUGUAAUUAUAGGCUUUUGGAGGUUGUGGAUCAUGGGAAUUAAAGGAUUAGAGGUUGGAUUUGAUGUGGGGUUAGGUUUUGAUCUCGAAUUUAGUUUUCUGCAGAAUGGCAGAUUCGACAGUUUCUGUUCAUGCCAGUUUUCCGUGGUCUUAGUGGCCUCAAAAAAAUAAAAAGUCUAUGUAUGAGUCGUAGAUAAUUUGUAGAUCUUUCCGUGGCCGCGAAGAACACCUCAAUCAGACAUCCGACCAGAAAGUUAUUGCAGUUUUACUAUAGCAGUUUUUCAGUCUCAUAAUUCUGUGCAGAAUCUGUUCUCUUAAGAUUUAGGCAAUUUUAUCAACAGAAUUAAACUGUGGGUUGGUAAAAGAAGUUGUAGAUAAUUUUAUAAGCUUUCCAGAUUGUUAAAGAGUGCAUUCAUAUGAUUUGUGAAACUCCAGUUAUGUUUGUUUUACUGUGGCUGUUCCUGUUUACCUGACAAAAAUGAGUGGGUCUGUUCACUGGUGGGUUUCAUCUAGUAAAUGGCCGAAUUGGCUCUUCCAACUAUGGAGACUUUUGUAGAGGGAUAAACGUUCUUACUUCCAGCAGAAUUUCAUAAUUUUUGGUUCAACAGUUUUGGAGAUAUCGAAUUUUAAAGUUAACCAUACUGCUGUCUAAAACAGAUUCAGUCAGUUAUCUUGUCAGAUGUUUUAGAACUUGUAGAUGGCAGAAUUUAAUUAUCUAUUGAAUACUGAAGUUGUAGAGUAUUUUGUGUAGAUACUCCUAGAGUAUUUGUUUGAUAUCACCGCUGUUUUAAUUUUAAAGAUACAAAAUUAACAAACAGCUUUGCUGCUGUAUGACAUGUGGUUCAGGGUGGGAGUCUUUCCACUGGGUCUUGGUUUCAAGUGUAGGAGUGUUUUGUUGAUUGAUGGCAAAUGUUUGUGAAAUAUUUGUACUAAGUUUUAUGCCCACUAGCAGGUGGCUACACUCCAGAUCAUGUCUAGUACAUUUCUUCUUCUUCGAUGAAGGCAAGUGAAUGUAGCGGUGGUUGCUUCCGUUCUGACCUGUUAUUUCUAUCGCCUACACUCUAAUAUUCAGAAGUAUCAGAUUCUUUCAUAAUUGGACUCUAUGGUGAUGCUUUACUUGCUUGCAUUAUACUGAUGCUCAAUCAUAUAUUGAUGAUGAUUAUGAUUUGAGUAUGACUCAUGAGAUUAAUUCACACCCCUGAAGGUAAAUGAAGUAUUAUUUGAGGUUGGUAUUGUAUCUGAAGGUAAAUGAAGUAUUAUUUGAGGUUUGUGUUGUAUCUGAAGGAAGUGAAGUUUAUUGAUAAAUGUAGCAUGCCAUAUACAUUGCAUGACUCAUUUGCAUAUGAAGUUUUGUCGUGACCUAUGGUCCGACCGUACCGGUACAACUUAGCAUCGUACGUUGCCCGAGAAGGGGUACGAUGCGGCUUCAUACCCUUAGAGGUAUGAAGGCAGAGGACAUAUGCAUUGCAUUCAUUGAAGUGAUAUUUGCAGAUGAUGUGGUUUUAUACCCCCAGAGGUAUGAAGAUAGAGUACCUACACAUUGCAUUCCUAUGCAUACAUUGAAGUGAUAUUUGCAGGUAUUGUUGACGCAGGGAAGUGUUAUAGAACCUAUUGUGGUUGUUCGAGGAAAUGAGAUGGUAUUGGUUAUAGUGGGACUACUGAGUUCUAUAUCUACAAGCAUUUCUGAUUUUUAAUUGUGACUCUUUUAAAAUGUUGAUGAAUUCAAUUUGUGGUUUAAAUAUCUCGUCAGAACAAUUAGCUUGCUGAGAUGUUUCAUCUCACUCUUGCAUUACUCAAUGCAGGUGCUUGUUGCUCAUCAAGGGGAGUGAGAAGUAGCAGCACAUCCACCUUCAUUCUCAUAAUAAUGCUGCCCAGACGCAGCCAUGAUUUAAUUAGAAACUUCUUGUCAAAGGAUGUUUGUUUUUAACUAGUCGUGCGUACUGAUUAAUUCAGUUCAUGUUGUUAUGGUUGUCUUCCCAUUGCUAGCAGAUUAUUAAUGUCUUAUAUGUUUUCUUAUCAUGAUAUCUAUUUAUACUUUGUCGCUUCCCCCAUUUAUGCAAUUUUCAAAGGAGAUGCUGUCGAAAUUUUAUAUAUGAAUAUUAGAUGUGUAGUUUAGUAGCAUUCUGGGG